GUUUCUAUUACCUUAAGUUCUCAACUCAAGUUCGACUUGCUUCUAAGGUCUCUAUUACCUCAGGUUCUUGCCUCAAUCACUAGCUUAUAAGGUUUCCAUUAACCUAAUCAAGCUAACCACCCGACUCGGCCUCGAGUCAAUCAUCCGCGGAUAGUCCGCGCACUGGCUGCACAUCAGUCUGGCUGCCGUCACCGCCUACCGCAAAUCCGACUUAACCAUCUGGUGGCGAACUCAUCGCAUCGAACCCAACAACAACUCAAGUCAUGACUUAGCCAUCUGGCGGCGAACUAAUCGCACCUCACCCAACAAUGGUUCAAGACGUG
rnacentral:lncRNA from 1 species